CUCCAUCCAGUGUGAAGGAUGACCUCAGAGCAAUGCUCGUAUACAACUUUGGAAUAAAGGCUGCAGUUCCUCUAUUCUCCAAAAGGUGGCGACCUACUUCUACUGAGUGUGACGCACAGAUGGGAAGCCUCUAUGGAAGCCACAGACAGGAAGUGAUGUAAGGUGGAGACAGGAAGUUUCAGGUGAGAGGUCAGGUUGCAGGAAGUAGAGAGGAGACAUUGCUAGAGCUGGCAGCAGAGGAGCAUGAAGAACAGAAAUAAAUGAAAGUUGGAGUUAAAGAGGAAGAAGAAGAGGCGCAUGUGAUGGAUAAUCAGCAGUCUUCAGAGACAGAUGGGAUAAAGGCAACAAAGUGGGAUGAAUCUUCUCAAGAUAUCAGCACAGAUGGAUCCAGUGAUGGGAACCCACCAGAGAGAUGUUCCCGG